rnacentral:rRNA from 1 species
GUGGGGAAUAUUGGACAAUGGGCGCAAGCCUGAUCCAGCAAUACCGCGUGUGUGAAGAAGGCCUUAGGGUUGUAAAGCACUUUCAAUUGGGAGGAAUACCUAUUCGCUAAUACCGAGUAGAUUGACAUUACCUUUAGAAGAAGCACCGGCUAACUCCGUGCCAGCAGCCGCGGUAAUACGGAGGGUGCGAGCGUUAAUCGGAAUUACUGGGCGUAAAGAGUGCGUAGGCGGUUAUUUAAGUCAGAUGUGAAAGCCCCGGGCUUAACCUGGGAACGGCAUUUGAUACUGGGUAACUAGAGUUUGGGAGAGGCAAGUGGAAUUUCAGGUGUAGCGGUGAAAUGCGUAGAGAUCUGAAGGAACACCAGUGGCGAAGGCGACUUGCUGGCCUAAAACUGACGCUGAGGCACGAAAGCAUGGGUAGCAAACAGGAUUAGAAACCCCAGUAGUCC